rnacentral:lncRNA from 12 species
GAGCCCGAAUCUUUCUUGGGAUGAUUUUCAAUUUCAGGUGGAAAGCAGCCUGAAUCUUUCUUGGGAUGAUUUUCAAUUUCAGGGGCAAGGCAGCCUGGAUCUUUCUAAGGAUGAUUUUCAAUUUUAGCAAACUGCAAAAUUUGAAUGAAAAUGGAAAGCAUCUUGAAGGAUGCUUCAAUCUUUCUUCAGUUUCAAUUUCAAUUCUGCAGGAUUUCCAGAAGACGUGCAUGUCAGGUUAUUUUAACGUCAUCAUAUAUUUGUCUUUGAAGAGUUUCCGAACUACGAAGAACAGUAAUACCAAACCUUCACUUGUUAAAAAGUUUUUUUUUUUUUUUUUUUUUUUAAAUGAAUAG